ACUGCAGUGUCUGCUUGACCCUUCGCCGUGAGUCCCUGAGACAUCUGCCAACAGGACCCUUCCCACAUAAACCUCGGAAGCAGCAGCAGUGGGAGGAAUGAGGUGAAACCCCAGUGCUGCCCGGCCACUGACCUGACCUCACAAGGCAGACUAGUACAGAGUCAACCAAAAUUAUCCCUGGCAGGACUUCAAUCCUUUCAGUAGCCUUGUGAUUCCUGCCCAGUGGGUGCUGUUGGAGACCUAGCGGGAGCCCGAAAGAAAACCUUCACAAAGAACUAAAAGAAUGAGAAAGUUAUUCUGAGAAAUCACCUCCUCAGGGUACGGGGAACUGUGGGCUGAAAUCAGCACGCUCCUGAAUACACCGCGGGCAGGGUGUAGCUCUGACUGUGACGGCGACAUGUGGAUGCUGCAAUGGCAUGCGGGAGGAGCAGUGGGUCUUGCACACCAAACCGGAGUGCCAGCACAUCAGGCUAAAAGAAGUGCCUGCUUAAAAAAA